rnacentral:lncRNA from 1 species
ACCGCAGCCGAUGAUCAUGAAUCUGAACGGAUUUCUUUAACCGUGCAUGUGCUCAGCCUCCAUAGGUAUCCACAUGAGGACUCAUUCCGAUCAGAGGUAGGUGUCUUUAGUAGGGUGCUAGCUCCCUUACAGAAGACUUCUCUUUGAUGGCUAAGGUUGUUCUCUCACAGAUCUCACAAACUCUCUUAAGAACUAGGAAGAACGGGAGGAGGAA